rnacentral:rRNA from 1 species
GAUGAACGCUGGCGGCGUGCCUAAUACAUGCAAGUCGAGCGAACGGACGAGAAGCUUGCUUCUCUGAUGUUAGCGGCGGACGGGUGAGUAACACGUGGAUAACCUACCUAUAAGACUGGGAUAACUUCGGGAAACCGGAGCUAAUACCGGAUAAUAUUUUGAACCGCAUGGUUCAAAAGUGAAAGACGGUCUUGCUGUCACUUAUAGAUGGAUCCGCGCUGCAUUAGCUAGUUGGUAAGGUAACGGCUUACCAAGGCAACGAUGCAUAGCCGACCUGAGAGGAUGAUCGGCCACACUGGAACUGAGACACGGUCCAGACUCCUACGGGAGGCAGCAGUAGGGAAUCUUCCGCAAUGGGCGAAAGCCUGACGGAGCAACGCCGCGUGAGUGAUGAAGGUCUUCGGAUCGUAAAACCCUUUUUUUAGGGAAGAACAUAUGUGUAAGUAACUGUGCACAUCUUGACGGUACCUAAUCAGAAAGCCACGGCCAACUACGUG